CGCCGACGGCGCUGGCGCGGGGCCUGCCCGUGAGCCAGCAGCAGCUCGGCGGGGAGCAUGACCUUGACCCCAACGCGCUGCUGGUGGGGGCCACGCUGAUCACGAUGCUCGCCUACCUGCUCGGCACCUUCAUCCCCGGCGGCUACUGGCAGCAGGACUGGAGCGACGACGGCAAGCGGGUGCUCUACCGCGCCGGCGACCCCAUCAUGCGCGACCUGCACCGGCCGAGGUACUGUGUGUUCCGGAUCGCGAGCUGGGUCGGGGUCGCGAGCUCCAUGGUGAUGACGCUGAGCCUGCUCGUGCGGAUGGCCCCGGACUCGCGCCACGUCCGGUGGUCGUUCGCGGUGUCCUACUCCAGCCUGCUGCUCACCUUCGCGGUGUCGCAGACCAAGACGCACCUGUCGGUGGACAUCAUCGUCUGGCUCGCCGUCCUCGUCGUCUCCUGGCUCAUCACCAGCACCGGCCGCAUCCGUGGGGCGAACCGCGCGCGCAUCAUGAAGCUGUUCUGCUGCAGCAGCGGCGACAGCUGAAAAAAAAAUCUCUUG
rnacentral:lncRNA from 1 species